UAAAAACCCCGACUUCGGAAGGGGUGUAUUUAUUAGAUACAAAACCAAUGCCCUUCGGGGCUCCUUGGUGAUUCAUGAUAACUAUACGAAUCGCACGGCCUUGCGCCGGCGAUGGUUCAUUCAAAUUUCUUCCCUAUCAACCUUCGAUGUUUGGGUAUUGGCCAAACAUGGUUGCAACGGGUAACGGAGGGCUAGGGCUCGACCCCGGAGAAGGAGCCUGAGAAACGGCUACUACAUCCAAGGAAGGCAGCAGGCGCGCAAAUUACCCAAUCCCGACUCGGGGAGGUAGUGACAAUAAAUACUGAUACAGGGCCCUUUCGGGCCUUGUAAUUGGAAUGAGUACAAUUUAGAUCCCUUAACGAGGAACAAUUGGAGGGCAAGUCUGGUGCCAGCAGCCGCGGUAAUUCCAGCUCCAAUAGCGUAUAUUAAAGUUGUUGUGGUUAAAAAGCUCGUAGUUGAACCUUGGGCCUGGCUGGCCGGUCCGCCUCACCGCGUGCACUGGUCCGGCCGGGCCUUUCCCUCUGUGGAACCCCAUACCCUUCACUGGGCGUGGCGGGGAAACAGGACAUUUACUUU
rnacentral:rRNA from 1 species